ACAUUUUAUUCUUUAGAACACUUUUACCUUAAUAAAAUAAAGCGUCUGUCAUUCAUUUUUAUAGUAUGACCAAUUAGUUUUUUUCUAUCUCUUUCUAGCCAUUUCUAUGGAGACUCGGAUGGAGACAGUGAAAAUGAAAAUUCCCCCCACAAAACAGGGGUCCAACCACUAGCGGGACAGUUGUCCCUCCAAUCAUUGCCUCCUCCUAACUAUUCCAUGUACUCCAUAACCAGCAGGACAGCGAACACGCCAGGGGGACACGCCCACCUGGCGAGGGGCGUGGUGUGGUUCAGACACCAUUGCCUGCUGUGCUGUUCCAGUUCAAAUCCUAGGCAUGCUGGAGACAAUUACAGAGGUGAGAGACCCGGUUCCGUUUCCGUGUACCACAAUGGAGGAAGUGGACCUUUUUGAGCAACGGCUCAAAGAUCCCGUCAACAUUCUAAUGAGUGACGACAUGAUGCCAAACGUGGAACAUCCUCGAAUGAAUGGAAAAAAAUUAUUCUGUCAAAUGACAUCUAAGACUUUGCUCCUGCAUGCCGUCAGAAAGAAUCAUGCCACACAUGCAUCCACUGAUGAACAGAUUCUAAAGCAUGCCAUUAGGUGGUUCAACCUGGCAGCAAACCGGGGUAGCUCCAGGAGGCGUGCUACUGUCGACAUCCCCCACACUGAACAGAAUUAAAAAUAUAUAUUUAUAUUUUUAUAUAUAUAUAUAUACACACACACCAGUUCUCAGUUGGAAGUUCCACCAUUCACUUGAGGCCACUGCGACCUAUUCUCUGGGAGAAUUGUGGUAUUUGGGUUAGGUGGUCGGUAUUUAUGGUUGUAUUAGUUGUAGCUCUUGUGUUCUAAUGUGAGCUAU